rnacentral:rRNA from 1 species
UACGAAGGGUGCAAGCGUUACUCGGAAUUACUGGGCGUAAAGCGUGCGUAGGUGGUUUGUUAAGUCUGUUGUGAAAGCCCCGGGCUCAACCUGGGAAUGGCAAUGGAUACUGGCAGGCUAGAGUGCGGUAGAGGGUAGUGGAACUCCCGGUGUAGCGGUGAAAUGCGUAGAGAUCGGGAGGAACACCAGUGGCGAAGGCGGCUACCUGGACCAGCACUGACACUGAGGCACGAAAGCGUGGGGAGCAAACGGG